AAAAUGGGUGAACUUUUUCCAAGUUUCCUUUCUAACCUCAUUGCAUUACUUAGCUUUAUUCUUCUUUUCCAAAGUUGUUGGCUUCAAAUGGUCACUACUGAAUCGUCAGCAGGAGAAAUAUUAACGGAUUUAUCCUGCAAUAAUUAUAAUUGUUUGCCAACCGAUGAAGCGAAAGCUUUGAAAACAUUGGUGGACAAAUUGGGCUAUCAAUCGAAUUCGAAUCAAGAUAGUACGAUGAAUGACACUCGCUCUAGUCCUAUAUUCAAUUGCAGCUGUAACAACAAUGCUUGUCACGUCAC